rnacentral:rRNA from 1 species
AUUGAACGCUGGCGGCAGGCCUAACACAUGCAAGUCGAGCGGAUGACGGGAGCUUGCUCCUUGAUUCAGCGGCGGACGGGUGAGUAAUGCCUAGGAAUCUGCCUGGUAGUGGGGGACAACGUUUCGAAAGGAACGCUAAUACCGCAUACGUCCUACGGGAGAAAGCAGGGGACCUUCGGGCCUUGCGCUAUCAGAUGAGCCUAGGUCGGAUUAGCUAGUUGGUGGGGUAAUGGCUCACCAAGGCGACGAUCCGUAACUGGUCUGAGAGGAUGAUCAGUCACACUGGAACUGAGACACGGUCCAGACUCCUACGGGAGGCAGCAGUGGGGAACAUUGGACAAUGGGCGAAAGCCUGAUCCAGCCAUGCCGCGUGUGUGAAGAAGGUCUUCGGAUUGUAAAGCACUUUAAGUUGGGAGGAAGGGCAGUAAGUUAAUGCCUUGCUGUUUUGACGUUACCGACAGAAUAAGCACCGGCUAACUCUGUGCCAGCAGCCGCAGUAAGAC